AGAGGCCAGAUAUGUCAAUAAACAGUGAAAACUGUCCUGCUCCAGCACUUUAAACCAUGCUACUGGUUUUUCUCUUUGGCAAUUCUGGACCUUUCAGAGCCUUGAGUGUCACUCCUGGAAGAGACUGGGGAGACGGUGCACCCAGAGAGGAACAAAACGGGGAGACAUGGUCUGAAUCAAAAACCAGAUUAAAAUGCAGUGUUAUCUGGGGGUGCUUUUCCCCCCGAGGGAAAACCCCUUUCGUCAUCUGAGGCCAUUGGCAGGUCCCCCCAUGGAGUUGGGUUGACCAAGCAGAACUGGUGGUACCGGAGCCAUCUGGUAAGGUGUUCACGCCUGAGUCUGGCCCAACUGCCAGACCUGCUGGGACAUUAAUUAGGGACCCGAGCAAAUAUCAUCCUGCUUACUUCCUGUCUCCCAGGCAGAAGCUACAAGUUUCAGGAAUUCCUGGGCCCUGCACCACUGGAUCAAGCUCCUUAUGGCAGAGGGAAGAGUGAAGGUUAUCAUGUUGUCUUUGAAUGGGCCAGAGUCUGGGUGAAGGAAGGAAGAGGAACAAAUGAGAAGCUCAGCUUCCUUGCAGGGAGCAGAUUCGACGUCAGGUACAGUGCCUUACAGAGAUUUUUGGUGGAUGAAAAAAAAAAAUACUGCAGAUUUUUAAAUACAGAGAUGGUGUCAAAGCUCCAGGAAAUUGCAUUCAGAAAGGAAUCCUGUAUGUUGACUUCUUGUGAAAACUAAUGAAAGGAAACCAGUUUAGUUCAGGUUAUGGUUGAGUUUAAAACGGA